rnacentral:tRNA from 1 species
GAAUAUGAAGCAAUAAAUUGCAUUUAGUUUCGACCUAAACAUAGGUAUACUCACAAUUACCCUUAUUCU